rnacentral:rRNA from 1 species
AUUGAACGCUGGCGGCAGGCCUAACACAUGCAAGUCGAACGAGUGGCGGACGGGUGAGUAAUGUCUGGGAAACUGCCUGAUGGAGGGGGAUAACUACUGGAAACGGUAGCUAAUACCGCAUACCAUCGGAUGUGCCCAGAUGGGAUUAGCUAGUAGGUGGGGUAACUGAUCACCUAGGCGACGAUCCCUAGCUGGUCUGAGAGGAUGACCAGAGACAGUGGAAGUGGGACACGGACCAGACUCCAACGAGAGGCAGCAGUGGGGAAUAUUGCAAAAUGGGCGCAAGCCUGAUGCAGCCAUGCCGCGUGUAUGAAGAAGGCCUUCGGGUUGUAAAGUACUUUCAGCGGGGAGGCGUUACCCGCAGAAGAAGCACCGGCUAACACCGUGCCAGCAGCCGCGGUAAUAC